ACGAUUCUUCCUCUCUCUCUCUCUCUCUCUCUCUCUCUCUCUCUCUCUCUCUUAUUUCCUUCUCCAUCACCAAAACCUCCUCUGCUUGCUCUUCAUCUGCUCUCACCGUAUAUCAGAGUUCAAAAAAUCUCAUAUCAGAAUACAUUGGCGCUCUCUUUCUCCUUUGUCAAUUCAAUCAGCCUCAUUCACUUAGGGUUGCUACACUUGGUUAAGAACACAGCGUCGAAGUACUUUGAGGUCAACGCAAAUUUCGAAAGAGGAGGCGGAGGAGACCACAGUGGUGAUUGGACGACCCAAAUGAUGAUCCAUUUGAGCUACGCCUACGAGCAAGGUUUCGUCACAAAUCUACAAUCUUGAUGCGAAUCUCUGCCUUCUUCAUCUCUAUCAGAACGUGUGAGCACUCAAAUUGUUACACUGAUAUUGGAAAGCUUCUGAAGAUGAAGCUAGAUGAGGUUUCAGCUAGGACCAUGGAGGUAUUGGUGGAUGCUUUUUCUAGUUCUGCAGGGCUGUCCACCUUCUCCUAUACUGAGUUGGACUAUGAAUGGGGUGAACAGAAUAGAGAUUGCCAGUGAGAUGGAUGCAACUGCUGCUGGUACGUUGAGGAGGAGGACCUCAUGAGGUUCAUGAUUGAGAAAGAGGUAGAAGUUGCAUGCUGAUUGACGUAGCACAAACCAGAUGAAUUGAUAAAAGAGCUCUAAUAGAUUGGGUGGCACUGAUGGCAAUUCCCACUCUCGAUCCAGCCUUUGUCUCUUCCUAAUUCCAGAAAGAGUGGUAUUUUUCUUUUAUUCUCUACCGAUUUACAAUUUAGUUGUUUCCAUGAACAAUUAUAUUUGGUUGAAAGAACUUAAAAUUGUUCAAGGUGCUUCAGGGGUCGAAGUGGAACUUUAAGUUUGAAGCUUUGCUACCCCUAUUGGUACAUUACAUGCUUUGUAGUUUGUCAGGGGGAAAUGAAGUGAAUUAAAAAACAAUGUUCUUGCUGAGAUCACACUGAAUUUAAUUUGUGCUUAUUGGGUUUACAUGUUGAACUCGUUUUUCUUAUUAAGUUGCAGAAAUUGUCAUUCUCCCAUGAGAGAUGAGAUCUGAUGCAAAAAAAAAAAAAAAAUUUGGUCUAUUGAGUUCACCAAAAGUUCGAGAGUUUUGAUCAACUAAUCCCCUCCUUUAUUUCUAUCUUCCUAUAUCGGCAAAUGGAGGAGCAAUUCAAGACAUUGAUUGUCCUAUCUCAUUAUUUGGUGGUGCUUUCUUUACUGGAUAAUUGGAUAUGUAGAUCCAUCAGCUAUGCAGUUCCUAAAACUCUAGUUCUUUACUGUAUUUACAUUACAAAUAGACCAUCCUCAGAGCUAAAAAAUCCUCUCCAUUGUCCGCCAUACUAAGCAAGCUCGAGACUCCACAACUCCCAAAAGGUAAGAAACUCUUGACGUCGCUUUCAAUUUUUGGUCAUAUUUUGCACUACUUUGAUCAUUGUUUUAAUCUAGGAAACUAUGUAAUCUGCACCCCCUGCCUAGUUUUGUGUACCAGAAAAGUUAUGAUAGUUUUGCUUCAAUACCAGAAAUUUUCUUUCCUUUAGGUGGAAAUCUUUCGAUUCUGCAGCUCUCAAGUACAAUUUAUCUCAUUCUCUGAUGUUGAGUACCUGGAAUCCGCCGUUUUCCGGUGGGCAAGGGUUUGUUUGAGGAUGAGAAAGCACACAAAGUUAAUUCUUCAACAUUGGCUUGAAGCUAUUGAUCCAGACCAUUAGUAUGGACACAAUUUACACAUGAACUACGAUUUAUGAUUUGAAAGUGAGAGCAGCCAGCCUUUCUUCUACUGGUAA